UACGGGAGGCAGCAGUGGGGAAUAUUGCACAAUGGGCGCAAGCCUGAUGCAGCCAUGCCGCGUGUAUGAAGAAGGCCUUCGGGUUGUAAAGUACUUUCAGUCGUGAGGAAGGUGUUAAGGUUAAUAACCUUAGCAAUUGACGUUAGCGACAGAAGAAGCACCGGCUAACUCCGUGCCAGCAGCCGCGGUAAUACGGAGGGUGCGAGCGUUAAUCGGAAUUACUGGGCGUAAAGGGCACGCAGGCGGUUAAUUAAGUUGGAUGUGAAAUCCCCGGGCUUAACCUGGGAAUGGCAUUCAAGACUGGUUAGCUAGAGUCUUGUAGAGGAGGGUAGAAUUCCAUGUGUAGCGGUGAAAUGCGUAGAGAUGUGGAGGAAUACCGGUGGCGAAGGCGGCCCCUGGGACAAAGACUGACGCUCAUGUGCGAAAGCGUGGGGAGCAAACAGGAUUAGAUACC
rnacentral:rRNA from 1 species